ACGCACGCUGGCGGCGUGCUUCACCCAUGCAAGUCGCACGGAAAGGCCCUGCUUGCAGGGUGCUCGAGUGGCGAACGGGUGAGUAACACGUGGGUGAUCUGCCCCUUACUUUGGGAUAAGCCUGGGAAACUGGGUCUAAUACUGGAUAGGACCAUGCUGUAGGUGGUGUGGUGGAAAGAUUAGUUUCGGUAAGGGAUGAGCUCGCGGCCUAUCAGCUUGUUGGUGGGGUAAUGGCCUACCAAGGCGUCGACGGGUAGCCGGCCUGAGAGGGUGGACGGCCACAUUGGGACUGAGAUACGGCCCAGACUCCUACGGGAGGCAGCAGUGGGGAAUAUUGCACAAUGGGCGCAAGCCUGAUGCAGCGACGCCGCGUGGGGGAUGACGGCCUUCGGGUUGUAAACUCCUUUCAGCCAUGACGAAGCCCUUGUGGUGACGGUAGUGGUAGAAGAAGCACCGGCUAACUACGUG
rnacentral:rRNA from 1 species